AUUGAACGCUGGCGUCAGGCCUAACACAUGCAAGUCGAACGAGUGGCGGACGGGUGAGUAAUGUCUGGGAAACUGCCUUAUGGAGGGGGAUACCUACUGGAAACGGUAGCUAAUACCGCAUACCAUCGGAUGUGCCCAGAUGGGAGUAGCUAGUAGGUGGGGUAAAGGCUCACCUAGGCGACGAUCCCUAGCUGGUCUGAGAGGAUGACCAGCCAGCCUGGAACUGAGACACGGUCCAGACUCCGACGUGAGGCAGCGGUGGGGAAUAUUGCACAAUGGGCGCAAGCCGGAUGCAGCCAUGCCGCGUGUAUGAAGAAGGCCGUCGGGUUGUAAAGGACUUUCAGCGGGGAGGCGUUACCCGCAGAAGAAGCACCGGCUAACUCCGGGCCAGCCGCCGCGGUAAUUC
rnacentral:rRNA from 1 species